GACGAACGCUGGCGGCGUGCUUAACACAUGCAAGUCGAACGGAAAGGCCUUUUCGGAGGUACUCGAGUGGCGAACGGGUGAGUAACACGUGGGUGAUCUGCCCUGCACUCUGGGAUAAGCCUGGGAAACUGGGUCUAAUACCGGAUAGGACCGCACUUUAGUGUGUGUGGUGGAAAGUUUUUUCGGUGUAGGAUGAGCUCGCGGCCUAUCAGCUUGUUGGUGGGGUAAUGGCCUACCAAGGCGGCGACGGGUAGCCGGACUGAGAGGUUGGUCGGCCACAUUGGGACUGAGAUACGGCCCAGACUCCUACGGGAGGCAGCAGUGGGGAAUAUUGCACAAUGGGCGCAAGCCUGAUGCAGCGACGCCGCGUGGGGGAUGACGGCCUUCGGGUUGUAAACUCCUUUCGCCAGGGACGAAGCGUUUUGUGACGGUACCUGGAGAAGAAGCACCGGCUAACUACGUG
rnacentral:rRNA from 1 species